rnacentral:tRNA from 1 species
AUAGGGGAAGAGGAAUCAAACCUCCGUUUAAAAAUUCAAAAUUUUCAGUAUUCUCAUCUUAUACUACCCCCUA